rnacentral:rRNA from 1 species
GAGGAAUAUUGGGCAAUGCCCGCAAGGGUGACCCAGCAACGCCGCGUGGAGGAUGAAUGUCGUAAGAUUGUAAACUCCUGUUAGAGGGGAAGAAUAGUACCGGUUGGACCGGUAUAUGACUGUACCCUCAGAGAAAGCCCCGGCUAACUACGUGCCAGCAGCCGCGGUAAUACGUAGGGGGCAAGCGUUGUCCGGAUUUACUGGGUGUAAAGGGCGCGCAGGCGGGAUAAAAAGUCAGUGGUGAAAUCCUACAGCUUAACUGUAGAACUGCCUUUGAUACUGUUAUUCUUGAGUUCGGGAGAGAGAGACGGAAUUCCAGGUGUAGUGGUGAAAUACGUAGAUAUCUGGAAGAACACCAGUUGCGAAGGCGGUCUCUUGGUCCGA